rnacentral:rRNA from 1 species
CCUACGGGUGGCUGCAGUGAGGAAUAUUGGUCAAUGGCCGAGAGGCUGAACCAGCCAAGUCGCGUGAAGGAAGACGGCCCUACGGGUUGUAAACCUCUUUUGUAAGGGAGUAAAGUGAGUCACGUGUGCCUCUUUGAAAGUACUUUAUGAAAAAGGAUCGGCUAACUCCGUGCCAGCAGCCGCGGUAAUACGGAGGAUGCGAGCGUUAUCCGGAUUUAUUGGGUUUAAAGGGUGCGCAGGUGGGUUGUCAAGUCAGCGGUGAAAGUUGGGGGCUCAACCGUAAAAUUGCCUUUGAUACUGGCAGUCUUGAGUACAGGUGAGGUAGGCGGAAUGCGUGGUGUAGCGGUGAAAUGCUUAGAUAUCACGAAGAACUCCGAUUGCGAAGGCAGCUUACUAAACUGCCACUGACAUUGAUGCUCGAAAGUGUGGGUAUCAAACAGGAUUAGAUACCCCAGUAGUC